AUGAAAACUUCCCCCAGCUUAGUAACUGUGAUAUUCUUAAUAGUUGGAAGGAUAUGUGGACAGUCAGUGACACAGACGAGAGGCCAAGUGAGCACCGCAGAAGGGGGUCUUCUGACCAUAAACUGCACUUACACAGCCUCGGGAUACCCUACUCUUUUUUGGUAUGUCCAAUACUCUGGAGAAGGUCCACAGCUCCUCCUAAAAGCUGUGACAGUCAAUGAGAAGGGAAGAAACAAAGGGUUUGAAGCCACAUAUGAUAAAGCAACCAGCUCCUUCCACUUGGAGAAAGCUUCAGUGCAAGAGUCAGACUCGGCCGUGUACUACUGUGCUCUGAGUGACACAGUGGCAGGAACUGCAGGGGGAGCUGAGCACAAACUCUGA